rnacentral:rRNA from 1 species
AGUCGAACGAGAAUCUUUGAACAGAUCUUUUCGGAGUGACGUUCAAAGAGGAAAGUGGCGGACGGGCGAGUAACGCGUGAGUAACCUGCCCAUAAGAGGGGGAUAAUCCAUGGAAACGUGGACUAAUACCGCAUAUUGUAGUUAAGUUGCAUGACUUGAUUAUGAAAGAUUUAUCGCUUAUGGAUGGACUCGCGUCAGAUUAGAUAGUUGGUGAGGUAACGGCUCACCAAGUCAACGAUCUGUAGCCGAACUGAGAGGUUGAUCGGCCGCAUUGGGACUGAGACACGGCCCAGACUCCUACGGGAGGCAGCAGUGGGGAAUAUUGCGCAAUGGGGGCAACCCUGACGCAGCAACGCCGCGUGCAGGAAGAAGGUCUUCGGAUUGUAAACUGUUGUCGCAAGGGAAGAAGACAGUGACGGUACCUUGUGAGAAAGUCACGGCUAACUACGUGCCAGCAGCCGCGGUAAUACGUAGGUGACAAGCGUUGUCCGGAUUUACUGGGUGUAAAGGGCGCGUAGGCGGACUGUCAAGUCAGUCGUGAAAUACCGGGGCUUAACCCCGGGGCUGCGAUUGAAACUGACAGCCUUGAGUAUCGGAGAGGAAAGCGGAAUUCCUAGUGUAGCGGUGAAAUGCGUAGAUAUUAGGAGGAACACCAGUGGCGAAGGCGGCUUUCUGGACGACAACUGACGCUGAGGCGCGAAAGUGUGGGGAGCAAACAGGAUUAGAUACCCUGGUAGUCCACACCGUAAACGAUGGAUACUAGGUGUAGGAGGUAUCGACCCCUUCUGUGCCGCAGUUAACACAAUAAGUAUCCCACCUGGGGAGUACGACCGCAAGGU